rnacentral:other from 1 species
AAAUUCCUGGGGUGUGCGACACUCCCUUAAUUUUGAACCUACAUUUACUUUUAUGGGAUUCCUAUAUCGAACAGCGUAUGUCAGGCCUCCAUAGCAGUGGAAGGCAGAAACUGUUUCUGCGGAUACCCACCUAGCUUUGCUAGGAGUCAAAAUA